UCUCCGUCUCAAACUCCAGCCUGGCCGACAGAGAGAGACUCCGUCUCAAACUCCAGCCUGGCCGACAGAGAGAGACUCCGUCUCAAACUCCAGCCUGGCCGACAGAGAGAGACUCCGUCUCAAACUCCAGCCUGGCCGACAGAGAGAGACUCCAUCUCAAAAAAAAGGGAGAAUAAAAGAAUGGGUUCUGCCAAUUGAUGGAGGAAGCUUCUAUUAAAAACUCCAAUGGGAUGAGAAGAAUUUUAAUUACGGCUUAAUCAGCAGCACAGCCACCAAGCAUAUAAAUUAUCAUGCACAUCGUGCUAAAAAUAUCCAGUUUCCUUUAUCCCCACAACUUUAUACUGACAGCACUUAUGUGAUAAUGUUGUACCUGCCAGUCUUUAAACUUCUUUGUUUUACUGGCAAAUUUCAGCAUGAGCCUUUGCUAAGGCCAUUAACAGCAUUGACGCUUUGUGUACUUAUCCAAAUAUGUAAAUAUGGUCUACACAAUAAAACGGCUCCAAAUAAAAACUGGUGAAAAUUAUCUGACAUUC